CGCGUAGGUGGUCUUAUAAGGGUGUGGUGAAAGCCCGGGGCUCAACCCCGGGUCGGCCGUGCCGACUGUAAGACUGGAGUGCUGUAGGGGCAGGCGGAAUUCCGGGUGUAGCGGUGGAAUGCGUAGAGAUCCGGAGGAAGACCGGUGGCGAAGGCGGCCUGCUGGGCAGUUACUGACACUGAGGCGCGACAGCGUGGGGAAGCAAACA
rnacentral:rRNA from 1 species